UCAAAGCUAUUUAAAAUCAGUCAAAAUAGUUAAUGUCAGAGGAGUUACAUCCAGUUUAGAAGACAAUCGAUGUUAGGAUCGUCAGGAAUAAAGUGGAUUAUACAAACCGAAACUAGACUAGCUAUAUUUAGCAUAUGAGGCAGAUGAUACGUAGCUUAGUGCUAAAAAUAAAAAUAGAGCCUACGUGGGCCAUAUCCGGCAUUUUACGCUGUACUAUCCUGCCACUCGGAAACUUCUGAGCGCAGCUCAUGGCGAAACAGCAAAGGUUUGGUUGCAAAUUUGUUUCGUAUACAAGAUGAGCAAUGUGUCCUCUGGUGAUUUUUAUUUUUCGAUCACAGGAAUUGAAGAAUAAAGAAUGAGUAAGUUGCUAGGUUACUCCCGGAUAUUCCCGUAAUUAUAAGAACGGAUUUUUGCUUUCUAAACCUAUCCUGAAGACCAUUCGACGUGUGUCUACAUCGAAGUCUAGCAACUAUGUAACAUUUCAUCAAUGGACAGCGUAGACAGGAUUCCAAUUCCCAUCGGGUCUCAGAUAGGUGCUGCAACACUUGAUAUAUAUGGUAAUAAUCUUGUAAGCAACCGUCCAGACAAAAACGACGCCCCAAGGACGCUUCACGACAGUCUAGAAGUCCUUAUUACCACCGAAGAUCCAAAUGAAAAUGGAGCUAAUGACUGUUUUCAUGUCCACACAGACGCCACGGUCUCACAAAACGUGCUCAAAGAAUCCACGGCUACUCUGAACCACCCGUACCUCUGGAGCAAGAACUUGAAGCAACACGCUGUGGCUUUAAAAAGACUAGAAAAUGGCGGAGUAAACACGAAGUUCUGCUCCACUCUGUUUUUCUUAACUCGAUCAACGAAUUUUCUUGAGACUGAUGCCACGAAAGGCUUUGUUUACAUCUUCCCAAGAACUGCUCUUUGCGUUAAACUCAAAAUCAGCAGUAUAACCCAGUGUCCCAAUGCUGACAUCAGUGGUUAUACAUAUAUGUUGACCUGUGAAAAUGUGUCUUUAGACAUAUUUCCUUCUUUGCAAAAAGUGUUUAGACAAAUUAAAGCUAAUGAAGCUAUGAACGUCUAAUGCUGAGCAGCAGCAAUAUCUUAACUUAGGGGUGGCCAACCUAUGACACAUGCGCCAAAAAGUGGCGCAUUGCGUAAAUACAAAUUAACUAAAGUAAACUAAGCCUUCAAUAACUGGAAGAGUUUACUAAAACUGUAAUCUUGCUUAUGCCUGUCAGAUACUGAUGCCAGUAAGCAUUUUCAUUCAUGAACAGAAAUUAACCCUUAAUACUACAGAUCUGGUGUGAGCAUAACAAAUUGAAAAAUAUAUUGCCUGUGUGUUUAUACAUUUAUUAAAAUUUAAAACUUCUACAUAAUAAUGAUAUAAAAAAUUAUAAAUGCAAGCUAAAAAUGUUAACGAGGACAAACACUUAAGUUUUUUUUCUUUUUAACCCUGCUUCUACUGUACACAAAUGUGUAUAAUAAAUGUGUACCCAAAUGUGUAUAACAAACUAAAUAUGUACAAAUUACCAUACUUUCAAGGAAUGAAGCUAAAAUUUUAUAUGGCGCAUCUAAAUCAGAAAUGUAACUAUUUGGCGCAUGGAACCAAAAGGUUGGUCACUCCUGUCUUAAGUCAAUCUCAGGGAUUACUAAGCAAAAACAACUACAAAUAUUUUGACUACUGUAAUGACCCAAUAGCAAGACGCUUAGAAGUUGGGGUCAAUCAGGGAUUUCCUUAGUGACGCGACUGUACAUUAAAAACUUAGAACGGAAAUAGCUUAGAGACAGAUUAACGGACCAGAGACCCGCUUCAGUAGUGCUUAGGAAAGGACGAAUUGUUUUUUUCUAGAUCUGGCAGUGGACUGUGACAUUCUUAUCUAAAUAAUUUAUUAUAUUAAUUCACAAGGCAUCUUAUUGUUUUAUUUCUGGUGAGUUUGUUGUUCUAUAUGCUCUGAGAUGAACCAUAGUCGUUCUACGACUGAAGGAUGCCAAUAAUGAUGAUGAUGAACGAAGUUAAUUAGAAUUCGUGACUUUCAACCAUAUCAGGCCUCAGCAGACUCACAACAUUCUCAACAGAAGUGAUUAUCUCCCAACACAACGUGGUCUUGUGGUGUGCGCUCCGCAAAGUCGUUUCGAUGGUCCCGAGUUCAAAUCCUGCCCACGGCCAACCAUUCCGUUCUGUAGGAGGAUAGGGGUAGGUGUAAACCUUAAAUUGUGCAGUAAGAAAACACAAACAAAUGUUAGCUACGAAGAGAUUGUGUCCACACAAUUCUGGCGUAAUCUAGCAAAAAUAUAUACAUCCAUUUCUACAUUUGGGGGAGGCGCGGUGGCUGAGAGGUAAGCGCUUGGCUUCUGAACUGGGGACCCGGGUUUGAAUCCUGGUGAAGACUGACAUUUUUAAUUUCGGGAUCUUUGGCCGCCUCUGAGUCCACCCAGCUCUAAUGAGUACCUGACAUUAAUUGGGGGAAAAUAAGGGCGGUUGGUCGUUGUGCUGGCCACAUGACACUCUCGUUAACUGUAGGUCACAGAAACAGAUGACGUCAUCUGCCUUCACAGGUCUGAAAGGGGAACUCUACAUACUGGGCUUAAUCCUAACACGGUUUCUCUGGCCUUCGUUCUUUGAUGGCAGUUUCUAGACUGAUCACUAGUCUUUUUUUUUUCAUUUGAAGAUGCAUCUGUUACAAACUUUGUUUUUCAGUAACGCUUGAAAGUAUUCUGUUUUUUUUUUAUUUAAAUCUAGAUCAUGUUAAUUUUCAAAAUAUAUCCUAGGCCAUCGCUGGGCUUACGUAUAAGCUACCCUAGUAUAGCUUAGGGCCCCACGGUUUAAUGCUUACAAAAUCAGUCUCAGUGAGCUAUUCACACACACACACACACACAGAGGAGAGAGAGAGAGAUGGAAUCCACUUAACCCCUAGCUUAGUUUAGCUCAGGAACGCACUAUAGAAGAAAGACUUUGAACGCGACAUUUUCUAGUGACGACAUAGGAAUUGAGUUAGAGAAUAUUAUUGUAGACUUUUAGGUCAGUUACUGCUAGGCUCUAGUUCUUAUGACUGACUCGACUGUGGCCCAUUCUGUAUUAAAGGUUUUUUUUUAUUAUUUUUUCAUCUCGAGUGAACUUAGUUACUGUGCAUUGAUCCUGUUGGUUAUUGUUAAAUUAUCCCGUGACGUGGUCUAUGUGUGUAGUCAUAGAGCUCGCUUCAGUAAUACAAGAUACGCAAGCUCUAGGAUUAUCAGGGUCCUGUAAACGUACAUCAAGUACAACUUUAUUAAUACAUUCGUUACAAUAUGUUUUUUUCAAUCGAUGAGAUGGAUGCUAUGUACAUUAAUGAGAAUGUUUAAUCAAUCUUCUUUGUCCUUGAUCUCAUAAAAGCACAACUAAGGGCGGACUGGCUAUAUUGGCAUUUGGGCGAAUGCCCGGUGGGCCGUUACUCAAAUGGGCCUAAAGGGCCUCAUGAAUGCCACUGUGGCACGCAUUGACUUGUUAAAGAUUUUAUAAUAAUCUAAUAUAUAAGGGGCUCUAUGAGCGUUAUGCUAAAAACAUCUAUACUACAGUGUAAUACUAAAUUAAUCUAACACAUUUUUUAAAAUAAUGUUAUAGCCUACAUCCGUAGACAGUGCUAAUAGUAGGCUUCAUCCUUUUAGGGCCUACAGACAUAGCGAUUAAAAAGUAACAUAAGGCCUAUAUUUAUUAUAAAGAUAUAGAGCAUUCAUACAGUUUUCGAUACAUUAUUAUAAAAUAACAUUAUAAUUUUGAGAACAGAUAGGCCUAUAAUUAAAGGCCCAUCAUAUGAUAGACAAUUUAUGGGCUGUACUGUAUAGAAAUGCCUGAGCCUAUUUUGAUAUCCAGUCCGCCCCUGAGCACAACUCUCUUUUCCCUGACCUCAUUUCCCUGACAUCGAUUCCAUGACCUCGUUUCCCUGACAUCGUUUCCAUGACCUUGUUUUCUUGACAUCGUUUCCAUGACCUCGUUUCCAUGACAUCGUUUCCAUGACCUCGUUUCCCUGACAUCGUUUCCAUGACCUCGUUUUCUUGACAUCGUUUCCAUGACCUCGUUUCCUUGACAUCGUUUCCAUGACCUCGUUUCCCUGACAACGUUUCCAUGACCUCGUUUCCUUGACCUCAUUAUCCUGACCUCGCAUCCUGACCAAGUUUCUCUGACCUAGUUUCCCUGACUAUUGAUGUCUACAAGAUCUAAUUGGGUCGUAUUCCUCUAAUGAUCUUAGUAAAUAUCCGCUUUAUGAUAUUGUAAUCACGUACAUUUUGUAAUAUAAUGUUUUUAUUGUAAUUGAAAAAAAAAAACAUAUUUAAAAACAGAACUAUUGCAUUUACAAUGCAUGUACUUUUAACAUAUGUUGUUUUGAUUAAAGACUUAUUAUCAAUACAAGGUUUUCAUCAUCGUCUCAUAAAGCACGACACAUUAAUAUGUAUUUAUUUCUACGCUAUUUUGUCGGGGUACCGACCCAUUCACCUGGGAGACAGAAGCGCGUGUGAAAAAUGGCACCCUAAUUGCAGACGACAUGAGAACCGCGCUGGCAUAAGAAGAGCGUCAGAAAAAAAAAAUAAGGUCAAAGACACAAUCUCCAGCUGAAAUUGCUUGCCUGGAGGGCUUACAUGGGUCUCAGCUGCCACUUGAGGAGGCACACGACGACAGUGCAAAGCCCUCAGCCCUCUUGGAUAACAAAUU